rnacentral:rRNA from 1 species
AUUGAACGCUGGCGGCAUGCCUUACACAUGCAAGUCGAACGGCAGCACGGGAGCAAUCCUGGUGGCGAGUGGCGAACGGGUGAGUAAUGUAUCGGAACGUACCUUUCAGUGGGGGAUAACGUAGCGAAAGUUACGCUAAUACCGCAUAUUCUGUGAGCAGGAAAGCAGGGGAUCGCAAGACCUUGCGCUGAUUGAGCGGCCGAUAUCAGAUUAGCUAGUUGGUGAGGUAAAGGCUCACCAAGGCGACGAUCUGUAGCGGGUCUGAGAGGAUGAUCCGCCACACUGGAACUGAGACACGGUCCAGACUCCUACGGGAGGCAGCAGUGGGGAAUUUUGGUCAAUGGAGGCAACUCUGAACCAGCCAUGCCGCGUGUAGGAAGAAUGCCCUAUGGGUUGUAAACUACUUUUAUUGGGGAAGAAACCCUUCUACGUGUAGAAGGCUGACGGUACCCAAGGAAUAAGGACCGGCUAACUCCGUGCCAGCAGCCG